rnacentral:pre_miRNA from 2 species
GGGGGCCCUCGUCUUACCCAGCAGUGUUUGGGUGCGGUUGGGAGUCUCUAAUACUGCCGGGUAAUGAUGGAGGCCCCC